ACGGGAGAUUGAUACACCGAAUCGAGAGUGGCGGACGGAUGAGUAACACGUGCACAACCUGCCCAACAGAGGGGGAUAACACUUGGAAACAGGUGCUAAUACCGCAUAAUUUGUUUUCCCGCAUGGGAGAAUAAUAAAAGACGCUUCGGUGUCACUGUUGGAUGGGCCCGCGCUGCAUUAGUUAGUUGGUGGGGUAAUGGCCUACCAAGACCGUGAUGCAUAGCCGACCUGAGAGGGUGAUCGGCCACACUGGGACUGAGACACGGCCCAGACUCCUACGGGAGGCAGCAGUAGGGAAUCUUCGGCAAUGGACGAAAGUCUGACCGAGCAACGCCGCGUGAGUGAAGAAGGUUUUCGGAUCGUAAAACUCUGUUGUUAGAGAAGAACAAGUGGGAGAGUAACUGUUCCCACCUUGACGGUAUCUAACCAGAAAGCCACGGCUAACUACGUGCCAGCAGCCGCGGUAAUACGUAGGUGGCAAGCGUUGUCCGGAUUUAUUGGGCGUAAAGCGAGCGCAGGCGGUUUCUUAAGUCUGAUGUGAAAGCCCUCGGCUCAACCGAGGAAGGUCAUUGGAAACUGGGGAACUUGAAUGCAGAAGAGGAGAGUGGAAUUCCAUGUGUAGCGGUGAAAUGCGUAGAUAUAUGGAGGAACACCAGUGGCGAAGGCGACUCUCUGGUCUGUAAUUGACGCUGAGGCUCGAAAGCGUGGGGAGCAAACAGGAUUAGAUACCCUGGUAGUCACGUCGUAAACGAUGAGUGCUAGCUGUGAGGGUUUCAGCCCUUCAGUGCUGCAGUAACGCAUUAGCACUCGCUGAGAGUACGACGCAAGCUGAAACUCAAAGACUGACGGGGCCGCCACAAGCGUUGGAGCA
rnacentral:rRNA from 1 species